rnacentral:rRNA from 1 species
AGCGAACGCUGGCGGCAGGCUUAACACAUGCAAGUCGAGCGGACCUUUCGGGGUCAGCGGCGGACGGGUGAGUAACGCGUGGGAACGUGCCUUCCGGUUCGGAAUAACCCUGGGAAACUAGAGCUAAUACCGGAUACGCCCUUAUGGGGAAAGGUUUACUGCCGGAAGAUCGGCCCGCGUCUGAUUAGCUAGUUGGUGGGGUAACGGCCUACCAAGGCGACGAUCAGUAGCUGGUCUGAGAGGAUGAUCAGCCACACUGGGACUGAGACACGGCCCAGACUCCUACGGGAGGCAGCAGUGGGGAAUAUUGGACAAUGGGCGCAAGCCUGAUCCAGCCAUGCCGCGUGAGUGAUGAAGGCCUUAGGGUUGUAAAGCUCUUUUAUCCGGGACGAUAAUGACGGUACCGGAGGAAUAAGCCCCGGCUAACUUCGUG